rnacentral:rRNA from 1 species
UGGGAAUAUUGCACAAUGGGCGAAAGCCUGAUGCAGCAACGCCGCGUGAGUGAUGAAGGCCUUCGGGUGUAAAGCUCUGUCUUUUGGGACGAUAAUGACGGUACCAAAGGAGGAAGCCACGGCUAACUACGUGCCAGCAGCCGCGGUAAUACGUAGGUGGCAAGCGUUGUCCGGAUUUACUGGGCGUAAAGGAUGCGUAGGCGGAUUUUUAAGUGAGAUGUGAAAAACCCUAAGCUUAACUUGGGGACUGCAUUUCAUACUGGAAAUCUAGAGUGCGGGAGAGGAGAAUGGAAUUCCUAGUGUAGCGGUGAAAUGCGUAGAGAUUAGGAAGAACACCAGUGGCGAAGGCGAUUCUCUGGACCGUAACUGACGCUGAGGCAUGAAAGCGUGGGUAGCAAACAGGAUUAGAUACCCUGGUAGUCCACGCCGUAAACGAUGAGUACUAGGUGUAGGAGGUAUCGACCCCUUCUGUGCCGCAGUUAACACAAUAAGUACUCCGCCUGGGAAGUACGAUCGCAAGAUUAAAAACUCAAAUGAAUUGACGGGGGUCAUAGCUG